rnacentral:tRNA from 1 species
GUCCUCGUAGCCUAGUGGUGAGAGCAUUGACGUAUAAACCCAAAGGUCCCGGGUUCGAUUCCCGGCGAGAGUG